UUUAAAGCCUCAAAAAUCUGAAAAUUAUCCUCAUUUUCACCCAUAAUUCUUUUCUCCUUCUUCUCUCUUCUCUCUCUCUUCACUCUCUCUACGCCGCCCCAGCUCCGCCCACCGUCGCCGGCCGGAAAUCGCCGCCGGCGGCGGACCACCUCCAAACACCUCCAAAUUCACACCAUGUAAUCUCCACAACUUCCUCUUUCCAUAUCUCCAAACCAAAUCCUUCAAAAAUCCCUCAAACUCCUUGAAUCUUAGAUCUAGGAAACUUUUCCGUCACUUUUUUGCCCAAAUUAUUGAAGCUCCAACCACUACCACCCCACAAUACCUACAUCAAUGGAUAGAGCUCCUCAAGACCUAGCUAUUGAUGCCAAUUUCACCCUGAAAAUCCAACGACCAAAAUACGGCCAAAUUCCGGCGACCUCCUCGAACACCCUCUUCUGGCAUACUACCAUUUUUUUCGGCUACUUGAAUUAUAAAAUGGUAAAAUCCAAUUCUUUUUCAUGGCUGAUUUUUUAUUUUUAUUUUUCAUAUUUUAUUUUUAUUAUUAAUUAUUUUAGCAUUAGUUUUUGAAGUUUUGGAAUGUUAAAUUUUUUGUUUUUGCACUUGUUGAAGUAGUAAAAUAACUUUGUGUUGAUUAAAGUGAGGUAGUGAGGAAAUGCUUGAGAGUAUAUGGUAAAAUCGUAAUACUGCCCCGUUAUUAAUUUUUUUGAUUUUUUUUAGUUAAAGUUAGUUUCUAUCUUGUUUCUUCAUUUAAUCCAUUUUUGAUUAUGUUUGUCUAGUUGGUUUUAUUAAAUCGCUCCAGCAAUAACGUGUGUUUCGUUUGGCUUUAAUAGUUAAUUUUUGUUUGCUUACGAUUGGUUCAUAACACAUGUGUGAAGUUUAAUUACAUGUUUUAAUACUUGGUUUAGUUUGAAUCAACAGGAUGAUAUUGAUGUUGUUAAAAUCUGAAGUUUAUAUUAUUUUAUCACAAAAUAGAGUGCUAGUAGCCUACUUUUACUAGUUAGGGUGGCUGAAAUGAUAUUUUUUCUCUUUGUUUCUGACAUAGUAGAUUUCCUUUGACCUUUGGACAGAUUUUGAACAGUGUUUAGCACACAAUGUAAGUUUUUGUCGGACAAACAUUUGGUGAACCAAAAUCUGUCUAAAUUUGCCUAUUUAAGGGUUGCCCUUUCCUCACUUUGGGGGGACUCCAUCACACUUCCAGGGGGCAUUUUUUAUAAUUGCUUUGUCACAAAAAUAAAAAAAAUUCAGCAGUUGAACACAUGAAAAGUAAGCCGAAAUGGUGAGCUUUGGGAGUGAAUCUUAGAGUGCAAACUUUUAAAAAAGUAUAAGUCCUCUUUAGAGUUCUCUAAGUUUUCGGGUUGUUUUAACACGGAUUUGCUGCUGGUUUUGCUGUUGUUUUUAUGCUGCUUUAGUUGCUGAACUACUGUUUAUUCUUUUGCUACCAGGUAAUCCUUUAUGACUCGUAAUGUACGUAUUUUCAGCAAUUGGAACAACUUGAACAUGCUGCACCAUUUAAAUUUGUUUGAUGUGAUGAAUAGUUUGACAACAAAAGAGCUUGUAUGUUAUUGUUAUGUAUCAAGCAUGUGAUAAUGUGAAUAUAGCCCUUCAUAAUACUUGAAUAUUGAAUUGUAAGUUUUUGAAUGUGAUAUGUAAGUCGUUUAUGGAUUUUUUAAGCAUGUUUUCAAGCUAUUAUAUCCGAGUAACAAUGCUAAGUAUGCCAUGAAUGACUUGAGGUGUAUAACACAUAGCAUGAGUUUGUUUUAGUUGCUGAAAUUUCACUGCCAACAUAUGCUUCUAGGAAUGCUGUGAUAAUAUCUUUGUGAAUCUGGUCAUUUUGCCGGAUUUGCAAAAAUGGUUAUUUUUGUAAAGUGGGCGUUUAUACAAUUGUGACUAUGUAGUUAAUGGUCAUGGAGUCAAACUAAGUAAAGAGCUAAGAUUGUAUCAACUUUGGGCCUCACUGAAUCAAAUAUAAAAGUUGGCCCAUUUACCUUUAAACAACAAAAUUACCCCUUUUUUUCUAUAUAGCAUUGAGCCAAUUGAAAUUCAUUUCUUGGCCCAUUUUAAUAAUAAAUUCCCGCAGCCCAAAAGUUCCAUACAAGCUGGCC
rnacentral:lncRNA from 1 species